CCUACGGGAGGCAGCAGUGAGGAAUAUUGGUCAAUGGACGAGAGUCUGAACCAGCAAAGUAGCGUGAAGGAUGACUGCCCUAUGGGUUGUAAACUUCUUUUAUAUGGGAAUAAAAUGUUCCACGUGUGGGAUUUUGUAUGUACCAUAUGACUAAGUAUCGGCUAACUCCGUGCCAGCAGCCGCGGUAAUACGGAGGAUCCGAGCGUUAUCCGGAUUGAUUGGGUUUAAAGGGAGCGUAGGUGGAUUGUUAGGUCCGUUGUGAAAGUUUGCGGCUCAACAGUAAAAUUGCAGUUGAAACUGGCAGUCUUGAGUACAGUAUAGGUGGGCGGAAUUCGUGGUGUAGCGGUGAAAUGCUUAGAUAUCACGAAGAACUCCGAUUGCGAAGGCAGUUCACUGGACUGCAACUGACACUGAGGCUCGAAAGUGUGGGUAUCAAACAGGAUUAGAUACCCCAGUAGUC
rnacentral:rRNA from 1 species